AGCGAACGCUGGCGGCAGGCCUAACACAUGAAAGUCGAACGAAGUCUUCGGACUUAGUGGCGGACGGGUGAGUAACACGUGGGAACGUGCCUUUAGGUUCGGAAUAACUCAGGGAAACUUGUGCUAAUACCGAAUGUGCCCUUCGGGGGAAAGAUUUAUCGCCUUUAGAGCGGCCCGCGUCUGAUUAGCUAGUUGGUGAGGUAAUGGCUCACCAAGGCUACGAUCAGUAGCUGGUCUGAGAGGAUGACCAGCCACAUUGGGACUGAGACACGGCCCAAACUCCUACGGGAGGCCGCAGUGGGGAAUCUUGCGCAAUGGGCGAAAGCCUGACGCAGCCAUGCCGCGUGGAUGAUGAAGGUCUUAGGAUUGUAAAAUCCUUUCACCGGUGAAGAUAAUGACUGUAGCCGGAGAAGAAGCCCCGGCUAACUUCGUGCCAGCCGCCGCGGUAAGAC
rnacentral:rRNA from 1 species